rnacentral:rRNA from 1 species
GGGGAAUAUUGGACAAUGGGCGCAAGCCUGAUCCAGCAAUGCCGCGUGGGUGAAGACGGCCUGCGGGUUGUAAAGCCCUUUAAGUGGGGAGGAACGGUCGGGUGUGAACAGCGCCGGACUCUGACGUUACCCACAGCAUAAGCACCGGCUAACUCCGUGCCAGCAGCCGCGGUAAUACGUGGGGUGCAAGCGUUAAUCGGAAUUACUGGGCGUAAAGCGUGCGUAGGCGGUUUGGUCAGUCAGCCGUGAAAGCCCCGGGCCUAACCUGGGAACGGCGGUUGAGACGGUCAGACUAGAGUGGGCUAGAGGAUUGUGGAAUUCCGGGUGUAGCGGUGAAAUGCGUAGAGAUCCGGAGGAACACCGAUGGCGAAGGCAGCGAUCUGGGGCCACACUGACGCUGAGGCACGAAAGCGUGGGGAGCAAAC